GUGUGGCCGUUGGCUCCUGACGUCACGGGCGGACGGGGGCGUGACGGGGCCGGCCGGGCUGUGCCGAGGCGCGGUUGGCCUUUGCGCGGCCCGCGGGUUCAAGAGUUCAGCCGGAAGGGUCAGCGGUUCUGUUAGGGCAGCCGGAGCGGGCCUCGGGAAGUAAAGCGAAGCUGCAGGCGUGCCGCUUCCCUGUUCGCGUUUUCCUCCGCUUGCGCCUCUGUUAGCAGAGUGACUGUAGCCGCCCUGAGAAGAAGACGCGCGGGGCUGCUGAGGAUGCCCUGCUUGGGAAACUUAAGCGUGCCCGCGUUUGGGCAGCCUGGCGUCAGAGCAGCGUCUCCUGAGGUGUCUUGCACAAACCCCCCUGCGCUCACAGGGGUUUCUGUUUCAAACCCUUGCUGCUGCGCUGGUUUCUGUUACGUUUCACUUUUAUUGCCUGUAAAUCUGGAGCAGUGCACCCUGUUUCAGUUGGGAGAGGAGGAAUUACAGCGCGCGCAGCCUUUGAAGACACAAACAUUGUGCUCAGAAUUGCUACUUCUGGGAACCAAGCUGUUACAGGCAGUUAAUUUCUUUCCCUGUGCAUAGCAUGUUUUCUUUAGCUAUAAACAACGUAUAUUUUCUUCUAUAUUGAAUAAUCUCUAGGGGUAAAACGUGGCUUUAAGCUUACUGGAAAAGAAGUUAUCAUUUCAACUAAUUAUAGGAAACAAAGUAUAGUUUGAGAGGGUCACCAAACCUCGCACUCAUCAAAUUUUGUGUGGUUUGUUCUUUCCUGUAAUCUCUCCUUUUGCUGCAGUCUCUCAGCCUGCUCAGGCUUCUUAUUUCAAUCAUUAAAAAUGUUGGUGGCAUUUCCCAAGAAGCAGUGGUCAGAAGGUUGCAUACCUGCAGCAAUGUGUUUGGUCAGAAGGUUGCAUAUCUGCAGCAAUGUGUUCUCACUAACACUCUUCAGAGCAGGUUUUCACCUGGAACUAUUUGCAUAGCACCCAUCAGACGUACUCAUACAGCAGUGCAUGACACACAGCCCACUGAAAAUGUGCAGAUGUAAAUUGCUGGCAUUUGAAAGACGGCAUCUGGUAGACAAGAUGAAAGAUUUGCCAAAGAGAGGUUUGCUAUCCAAAUAUGUCAACAAAAACCCAGGAUCUAAUUAAUACGUUCCUAUUGAUGAUCCAUGUGUCUACUCAGAGAUACAGCUUAGGUUCAUGGAUCUGAAGUAUGGCUGAUUGUGCACAAUCCACUUCAGAAGUGGUCAUCGUAACAUUUAUUACUCACAUGGUUAAUUGAACUAUGGCUAAUACACACAUUUACCAGCCUACAGCUUGGCUGCAUCUACUGACUCACAUCUAAGGUGAGGAUCUGUGCAUGAUCCAGCUACAUACUGCAGUCUUGUCCUCUUCAGUACAUUUCCUUGGGGAUGGACUCUCAAUCCAAUUACGUUUGUGAAUUAUACUACUUUCCCAGAGAAAAGCAACUCAGGAAAGAACAUCCUCUGUCCCCAGAUGUCUCCAGUAUUUUAAAUAUACCCUCCCCAAUAGUCUACUUCUUUCUUUCCCUCUCAAUUGGCUGUCUGAAAAUUUGACUCUUCAAAGAACCCGCAUACCUACAGAACACAAUACAGUGAUUUCAGCAAGAUUUAAAUCAAGUGCUCUACUGGCAGUAAAGUAAUUCUAGGCAAGUUGAUAGGUACUUGUUUGAAAUGCCCUCUGAGGAAUUUCAUUGGUAUGGAGCACUUAUUUUAGGUUUUCAUAAAGUUUCCAGUCACCUCUCCUUGACUUCAUUCCUCUAGCUCAGCUUUUUCUAUUUGAUCAUCAAACCUCCUUCAUUCCUCAAGCAAUAACAGUAGGUUACACAGGAAAGCAUCCAGGUGAGUUUUGAAUAUCUCCAGAGAAGUAGACUCCGCAACCUCUCUGUUCUAGUGCUCUGUCACCCUCACAGUCAAGAAGUUUUCUUCAUGUUUGUAUGGAACUCCCUGUGUUCCAGUUUGGGACCCUUUGUCCUCUCACCUUGCAACCCUGCAAAGAACCUGGCCCCAUCCACAUGACUCCCAACAAUGAGGUAUUUAUUUUAUUUUUCUUACAAGCAUUGCAAUCAUUGUUGCAAACUAAUUCAUGCAAGUUUCUGUACUACAGAAGUAUACCAAUGUGUUACUCAAAAUAGACAUGUUCUGGAACAUAGGAUUUCUCUUUCGACCUCUUAAGGAUAAUUGUUGUCUUCCAUCUUGUCAUCAGCAACAGAAAUCUGACACAUUGCGGCUUCUAAAAAUUUUGUCCCAAUGUUUUUCACUCUCCAGUGAAGACAACCAAUAUAUCAAGGUUAGUUUCAUCAAUUCUAGCUCUGGGAAGAGUGGAUAUUCUGAAGAAGUAGUGGCAAAUACUUAUAUAUUGACAUAAAACUCUAUUCUCCGUGGUUUCUAUAAAGAAUCAUAGAGUUUAAAAGGAGAAAUGGGAUACAAAAAUAUGAAACCCUUUUUCAACAUGGAAACAUAGUGGAGAUACUUAUCAUAAGAAAAAGGCAUUUCUUUCAUAUUUUAAAUUUGACAGUCAUAUUCAUUUCUAUUUUUAAAUAUGUUGCAUUCUCUUUUCUAAUUGUGUGGCAAACCCACACAAGAAACAGUGAAAUCUCCAGUACAUUCCUUAUCCAGAAAAAAAGAGAUGGAAAGACUAUGCACAAAGUGCUAUCAAAAUUUUGAUGUAAAUUAUGUAAGAAGAAAAAUUGUUUUUUUUCGGUUCAGAGCAAUGUUCUUACACAGAAAUGUCAAGGUGGGUUACUUUUAAUACUGCAUAGUCCUGAGUCACCAAAACCAAAACUAAAACUACCAUAGCAACCCAGGCAUAUAUUUAUAGGCUGUGCAGUUCUGAAUCAGAUUUGCAAUAGUGUCUUCUCCCAUCGUCUUUAUUGAGCUUUACAGAUUGCCAUGUUAAUGUUCUUGGAUGUUAGCUAACAUUUAAGCUUGAUUCACGUACAGAUUCUCUGACAUAUUUCUACUUGUACCAACUGCUAAACUGGCAUUCAUUCUACUGAUAAUUUCAAUAGUGCAUGGGUUACGCUAGAAAUAGUUGAUUUGGUUACUGAAAAGUAAUACCAUGUCCUUUGCAAAUGGGAGAUAUGCUUAUUUAUAAAACUGACUUUAUAAAACCAUUUAAGUUUUGCAUAGCCUCUUCAUGAAAAAAAAGAAAAAAAAGAAAAAAAAACAACAAGAAAAUGAGAUUGAACUGUAUUUUGUACAAUAGAAAUAUAGGCACUCUGUUUGAUCUCUGAGGUCCUUGAGAUUUCUCCCCAUGUGUAAUUGUAGAUCUCUUGUUAGACACUCUGCCAUGACAAUCACCCAUUUUGUCCAUGUGCUGUUGAGAACAAGUAUCUUAGCUUUAUUCUAAUGUCCAAAUUGUCACAUAAUUUUAUGGUUGUUUUUAUCAAUCUCUGUUCAGCAUUUCUUCAGGUGAAGUGUUUCCUUUCCACUCUUCUCUGUGGCGUGAUUCAAGGAGCGAGCUGUUGAAAUGCACAAUAUAAAUGCUUGGGGGAAGGGAAUGACCCAUCACUGUGAAAUGCAUGCAAGAUGUUCUCUGUGAGCUGCAUUCUGAACAUAUCACAGCUGAGAAAUGUGCUUCCAGGGCUGCAGGAGGACGAUUUGAACAAAGAGAAAUUAAAGACAUGCUGAUCUAGCUUCUUACAAUGCAAACAUACAUAUACUGAAGAGUUAUUGGCUGCAAUGACAGAUUUCUGCUACUGGAGGUGACUCCUCAGGCUACGGAUUCGCUGAUUAGACUUCAUUCUAUGUCAUCAAGUGACUCCUCUGGUGGCUUCCUAUUGUUCCGUAACACAAGUCCACAAAGAAAUUGAAUUGCAUCAUCCUGUCAGUUCUAAAGAAGGAUGGCUUAACUGAGUAAAUUAAUCUGACGUAACAUUAAGCUGUGGCAACCUCUUACAUAACAUUAAGGACUGCAGCCUGAUGGGUAGAAUAACUAACAGGAAGUUAAAACAUUUGUGGUUCUGCAUCUGAGUCUUGAUUUUACAUGGAAUAAAUAACUUUAAGUUCCUAAUUUUGAGUUCCUACCUCAUUUUGUAUUUAAAACUCAGGAGCUGAAUAAAGAAUUUUGAUCACAGUAAUUAGCUUCUUUCCACUCCUAGUCCUUACAAUUUCAGAUUCUGAAGAUUUAAGUUGAAUCCGUAAUAAAGAUACAAAAACCUGUUGCAGAUAAAGACCCAAAUGUUGCAGCUUCUUUUGCAGUGGGAAAUUUGACUGAGGGAGGAUUACGUGCUCACUCAGAAUACCCACAAUCACUCUUGUCUUUUGGAAAACAGCACAGUGAUUGCUCUGCUAAAAUGUUUGUGUUACAGUUUUUGGGUUCCUGUAUUUCAAAAACUUAGAUUUUGCAUAAUCUUGUGUAUAAUAUCAAAUCUUAGGAUCUUGCUAAAAUCAGAUCAUUGCUCUCCAGAAAAUAAAUGGCAAAUGAUUGCUUCAGAAAGGCAAGGGCCUGGCCUCGCUCUCUAGUCGCUUUACACUAGAUAAGAUUGGAGAAGACAGAAAAAUACUAUAGAAAUAAUAGCUUAAAGUACCUUUCUGAUGUCUUCUUCCUUUACAAAAUAACUAAUCCAUACUAAAAAUUCAAAAUCUUCCACUACUUUUCUGCGUCGCAUAUUUAAGAACACUGUUAACUUCAAAGAGAUAUCUGGCAGCUCCCUGCACAAAGUAGGAAUAUCCAGCAACCAUAUCCAUGCAUAUUCAAGGUUAUAUAACAUACACUUCUCUGCAGCAACAAUAGAUAAAUGGAAAAAAUGAUUUCUUAGUAUUUUAUACCCAAAAUAUAUGCAAUAGUUUUAACAGCAAUUAAUUCUGGAAGUAUAAUAAUUGCAUAGGUAAUAGAUACAUAGAACACAUUAGCCACUUGCUCCAGCUAGAUGGACUAUAGAUGUUUUAUUUUAUAUCCAUUUUAAACUGUCAAGGUUAGAUUUAGGAACCCCUACUUGUUUUUGUGAGUUUAUGUUAGCUCCCCCAAAUGUCCCACUGAAACCCACUGCAGUUACUUAUACAACUAAAUGAUUUCCAGAUAAAGUAUAGGUUCUGCAAUCUGAAACGUAAUGAUAUGUUAACUUAUUAUGGGGUUGUACACUACACAGACAAUUUACAGCCUGGCUGUUUAUUCAGAUUAAACAUAUUAUAGCAGAGCUGGGAUCACAUUCCCUAGUUAUACAACAUUCCCACAGAUUUGCACUUUAGCUUUGGUAGGGAGAUGAAAAUCAGGCCUCAAAGCAGUAAUUACCCCACAUGGUACUCAUGCAUAGAGAGAUAAAGCUAAAUAUAACAUAAAGAAUGCCAUUUGCCCAUACAGUGUUAAAUGAACUCCAUACCAUAAUCAGAACAGAGUUAAACAAAAACACACAGUUACCUAGAAACAAAAGCACAAAAGUCUGUCUCUAUCACAUGCUUGAAAGUGUUUAUGGUCAGAUCCUACCACUGUUGUUCACAUUGUACAGCACUUAUGAGCAGUCCCAUUGAGGCACUUGGGUAUUAAAAUGAUUUGGAAGUCAAUAUCUCUUCAUUUGCCUUAAAAACUGCCUGAAAUUGUGCGCCAUUUAGAUCUAACAAUGCCUUUAUAGGUUCCAGUGUACAAUAACUCUGUUAGGCUUGCAUUACCUGGUUUGGGUACAAGCUCCACAAGCAUAGAGCUCAAGCCUAUGCUGCAAAAGUCCUCAGUAGGUUCCCACUGAGCUUUUUGCAGCUCUGAGUACACUGUUACCAGGAGCCACACUAGUUUUAAGGUAGCUCAAGCACAUCUUAGUGAUAUACUCCAAAUCUGUUGAUGUUUCAUCUGUACACAUGAAUCAAAUCAUCAGAUAGUGAGAACUUACUGUAACUAUACCGGAAGGAGGCUUUCAUUUUAGUACUUUAUGUCAAAAUUUUGAGUUUUUCUUACAGAAGUACAUUUUCUAAUAAGAGUCCAGACUAAGUAUACUGAAAUGAAUAAAGACAACAAAGUCUAGACAAAGACUUCACAGAAGUGUACCUAAGAGUAGAGUUUGGCUGAUAAUGUCAAAAAUUAAUUUGCUUCUCCCAUGCUUUUGGUCUUCGUUUUCAAAAUGAAAAUGAAUACUCCACACACACAAAAAAAUAAGUCAAAGAAUGGGAUGCAGGGACAACCAUCUUCCUUUUCCACGCAGCUUCUAACUCUUAAACAUACUGAAACACAGUUUCUGUGCCUCAGCUGAGUUGCACAAAGACAAUGUUCUUAGUUAAGCUAAGAACAGCUUUCAGGCCAAAUGAGCUUAGUAGAAACCUUUCUGCCUUGGCCCCUUGUGACCCACACAGCAGAUUUCUAUCUCCUUGCAUAUCAUGAGGGAUGUUCAACAUCUGGGCAAAUGAGUGGGGCAUCUACAAAAGUUAUUGUAGGUUUACACGAUACAUCUAAAACUGAGCAAGUAUAGGCAGAGAUGGAUUCAUUUUUUCUAUGCCCCAAGCUGGUGAUAUGUCUUGUCUGGAAGUAAAAAGGCACUUCAUUUCAGAUGAUGUGAGCAUGCAACUUCUAGAUCAAAGUUAGCUUGUUCUUGCCUGACUUUGAAACAAGCUGCUGUCUGCCUGCACCUGUCUGCAUAGAUUGUUAUGACGGGACAUGGGUGUUGCAAGCCUCCUGGUGAGGCCCCAGGCUGAAGUCUAGGUGGAAACAGGAGACAACUGAUGUAAUUAAGGCAAUCUGAAGUUAUGAACCAGAGCCAUACAACACUCAUUACUCUAACAGAGCAAGACAAGAACAUAGUCGAAGGUAGGGUUUGGCAUCAGAAAGUCAAGGAGCUUUCAUGCACCUUGACAAGAGCACAGCUUUACGGUUACGACUGCAGGAAGAGCAGGCUGUAAUGGAAGUCCAGAAGAAGGAGCAGAUAGAGCAGGAGCAGAAACAGAUAGCUUGGGUCACAGCUAUGGCUGAACAGGCAGCAGGCAUGAACUGGUCCUGAACCAUGAAACCAAAGACAGUGAGAGGGACAAGGCCUAGAGGCGAGGCAGAGAUCAGAGUUCAAUCCGCUGUGCUUGUUCUGAGGACAUCUUUUGUUCACACAUCUAUCUACCACCAUCUAAUAACAUUCAUCUACUGGCUGUAACAGCUGUUUGGGAGCCAGGUCCACCUCUGAAGGCACAGUACCCAGUGCCUGGCUGCCUGUGGGAUGUCUUCCUUGGCUAGUCUCUUGAAGAGACUGCACUUACUAAUUUUAACAAAAUUAGAGCAGGAUUGUAAAGAAAUAUGUGGAGUAUUUGUUUCCACACAAUAUUAAUAUAAUGAGGUGCGAACAUGUAAUCAGUCCCAUUGAAACCUAUAAGGCCUAAUAGGUAUGCACAUACUUGUAUGUCUGUUUAUUAAGUAUACACUUAUUAAAGAAUCUACUUUAAAAUAUUUUUUUUAGGGAUGAAAAGAUGCAAUAAACAGUGGAACUGGGUGUUUCAGUACCUGUAGGGCUGAUGAUGGUGCAAGAGGUAGAUGAGCCUUCUGGCAUGGGUGUCAGUCAUUGCAUUCUGAGGCAGAGGUAUGUGAAAUGCUUGGUAUGAGAUUAAUGCUAUAUAAACUGUGAUAUUUAUAUUAAUCUUACCAAAGGGAUACAAAAACAAUUGUGUCCACAGUAUCCAUUGCCCUCAUGCAAUGCAACGGAAUGGGAUGAAAGCCUUUUUCCUUUAGCUCAUCUUCAUCUAUCUGGAAAGCUGAAAUUACAUACAGGUGAGAGAAGUUGAGCUUCUGUCAAAAUGCCAUUUGACAUAAUGCCAAGUUUUAGUCCUUCAGAAACAAAAAGCUUUUGGCUUUUGCUAUUUGGGCACUGCACCAGUUCCUUCCCAUCUUACUCUUAGACUGAGAAACUAUUAGUAAGACAAAUGACUGUCAGCAAUAAGAUAGGUUUUUCAGGAUGGGGUGUUCUUACACACCUAUAAAUGCACAUAUGAAAGCACAAGUAAAAGGUACUUGUCUGCACACUGAAUUAUCCACAUUUGUUUGUUUCUAUCUGAUGCCUUCUUCAAACAGAAUUUUUGUCUUCCAGUGUCAUACAUAUGUGACUAUAAAAUGCACUCAUAGUUGAUUAUCUUCUGGGUUUGUUGUCAGUGAUCUUUGUUUAUCCCAGAGGGAGAAAACAAAGAACAAUAAUUUAAAAUAAUUUCCGUAUUUCUUGGGUGCUAAAUAAGGAAAUGAAAAAAGUAAUGUCUUCUCUUACAUUGUGUUUAAGGUAUGUAUCCAAACCGAAUGAGAGGUUUCCAGUGCCAUGUUUUUCAGAUGAUUUUAUCAUAUCCCGGUAAACAGAUUGCAGUCAUACAUUACCCUUGCUCUAGCUGGAAGAUUUGGCAGGUCUUUACUUUUGGAAUCAGGUACUCCUCUGCUUGCUGUUUAUCAAGUAGUUUAUAGUUUAUAAAAGUAAAUUUUAUAAAGCCUCAGGAUUAAUUUCCUCAGGUUCUACAAGAUAAAAUUGGAACACAUCAAAUUUAAGAAUCACACGGUUUUCACAUGAAAUAAACACAUUUAUUUUAAAUCAUGCUGU